UGCAGUCUCUCUCUAGGGCUCUUGUUUUGGUUUUACAACCACAUAGCACUUGCUCACCAUCAGUGAGUAUUGUUAUUUUGCUAUACUGUUUGUUUGUUGGUGGGAAAAGGGGGAACCAAGACAAGUCGCCCAUGGGCAUACACUACCCAGAAUACUUCAAUGAGAGUCCUGCCAUGGAAAAGACGACUGGGUGGACAUAAAGUGGAAAGGAGGGGAAAUAACUCCCACCAUGCAGCAGGACACCUUCAGCUGUGGGGUCUUUUGUAAUGCAGGUGUAGAUGGCCAAGGAAGUUGCACAGAACUUUCCUCCCAACAUCCCUUCCCAAAUUGAUAUGGAACCUUCACAAAAACACAUGGAGGUACUGCGAAUAUAAAUGGCUGAGGAUAGACAACAUGUCUGAUUGGAUGUGUUGCAUGCCAACGGGGGUUCCAUGUGCUGUGCCUAGGAAUGAAGACACAAGAGUUCACCAGAGUAAAGAACACAAACAGGAAGUGCUGUCUUUGUUGUUGGAAAUGUAUGCAUUACCUCAUCCAUAGUGAAGAGGUUCUGACAUGUACAUCAACCAGGGAUAAAGAGGAAGUUAACGCGGUGAAAUGUUUCAUUUAAUUGAACUUAAGUGUCUGACAUGU